rnacentral:rRNA from 1 species
GUGGGGAAUAUUGCGCAAUGGGCGAAAGCUUGACGCAGCAACGCCGCGUGAGUGAUGAAGGCCUUCGGGUCGUAAAGCUCUGUCAGGAGGAGCGAACACCCGGCAGGAACAAUACCCUGUCGGUUUGACGGUACCUCCAGAGGAAGCACCGGCUAACUCCGUGCCAGCAGCCGCGGUAAUACGGAGGGUGCUAGCGUUGUUCGGAAUUACUGGGCGUAAAGCGCGUGUAGGCGGAUCCAGAAGUCGGGUGUGAAAGCCCUGGGCUUAACCCAGGAAGUGCGCCCGAAACCAUGGGUCUUGAGGUCCGGAGGGGAUCGGGGAAUUCCCAGUGUAGAGGUGAAAUUCGUAGAUAUUGGGAGGAACACCGGUGGCGAAGGCGCCGAUCUGGACGGAUUCUGACGCUGAGACGCGAAAGCGUGGGUAGCAAACAGGAUUAGAAACCCCAGUAGUCC